UGGUGGAGUGAUUUGUCUGGUUAAUUCCGAUGACGAACGAGACUCUGUCCUGCUAACUAGGUUGUGUUUUCUCGGGUUGGUGUUUCUGGUGUUCCUUCUCGGGGCGCCGGCCCAAUCCACUUGUGAACACAACACUCUUCUUAGAGGGACUGGCGGCUGUUAGCCGCACGAGAUAGAGCAAUAACA
rnacentral:rRNA from 1 species